rnacentral:rRNA from 1 species
CCGAGAGUUCAAGAGUACGUGAAACCGCUUGCAAGUAAACAGAUGGACCCACGAAGUCCUGUUGAACAAGAGAUUCACAUAUUUGGAAAGGCGAAAUUUGCAAAUUUUUUCUUUAUUGAAAUAUUUGUAUUUUUGUAGUCGAUCGAAAGAUGCAUUUCUCUUGUUCACGCUGGAGCUCUGACUGCUCAUUUGUCUUUAACUGCUUAGGGCUGCUUUUAUUUGUGGUUGAAUUUUCGGAUUCAUUUCACAUUUAUUGGCGAGUAAGUGAAGACAUAACGAGCAGUUGAAUUACUUACAAUUGUAAGUGUAUUCAGGUCAUGGAUGUAACUGGAGUGUCAAAGAGUCAAUUGGUGAGAACUUUCGUCUCUUGUAGAUGAAAACCUUAUCACAUUAUUCUUUAAGUACAAUCUAAGUGCAUCAAUGAUGAUCCAGAGUAAGUAGGUCGGUCAUCCAUCUGACCCGUCUUGAAACACGGACCAAGGAGCCCAACAUUUGCGCGAGUCGCUCGGUCUUGAAUAGGCCUGAGAGGCGAAAUAAACAUAACGGUAUGAUCUUGUUUUAUCCUCGUGAUAAACAAGCGCAAUACCAACCUGCUUAAUUUGCCUUUUGACAAGUAAGCGGAGUUUGAGCGUAAAUGUUGGUACCCGAAAGAUGGUGAACUAUACUUGGGCAAGACGAAGCCAGAGGAAACUCUGGUGGAGGUCUGUAGCGAUUCUGACGUGCAAAUCGAUCGUCAGACCUGAGUAUAGGGGCGAAAGACUAAUCGAACCAUCUAGUAGCUGGUUCCCUCCGAAGUUUCCCUCAGGAUAGCUGGACUGG